rnacentral:misc_RNA from 1 species
CCUGAAUUAUAAUGAUCCAUAUCUGUCGCCGUUCGAGGAAUUCCAGCGCUUCAAGACCCAUCCCAAGAUCAGCCCUGUCUUCGAGGGCGCCAAGCGCAUCGCCUACGGCGCGCGUGCGAUCACCGAGGGCGGCUANNNNNNNNNNCUGACCUUCAAGGGCGGCGCCCUGAUCGGCUGCGCGGCGGGCUUCGUCAACGUGCCGCGCAUCAAGGGCGUGCACAACGCGAUGGGCACCGGCAUGCAGGCGGCAGAACAUGUCGCCGCUGCGCUGGCUGCGGGCCGCGCCA